rnacentral:rRNA from 1 species
CCUACGGGUGGCAGCAGUGAGGAAUAUUGGUCAAUGGCCGGAAGGCUGAACCAGCCAAGUCGCGUGAGGGACGACUGCCCUAUGGGUUGUAAACCUCUUUUAUAAGGGAAGAAUAAAUGCUACGUGUAGCAUGCUGCCUGUACCUUCUGAAUAAGCAUCGGCUAACUCCGUGCAAGCAGCCGCGGUAGUACGGGGGAUGCGAGCGUAAUCCGGAUUUAUUGGGUUUAAAGGGUGCGUAGGCGGUGUUUUAAGUUAGUGGUUAAACGUCGGGGCUUCACCUUGAUUUGCCAUUAAUACUUUAAGACCAGAGUUCAGCCGAGGUAGGCGGAAUAAGUUAAGUAGCGGUGAAAUGCUUAGAUAUAACUUAGAACUCCGAUAGCGAAGGCAGCUUACCAGACUGCGACUGACGCUGAAGCACGAGAGCGUGGGUAGCGAACAGGAUUAGAUACCCGGGUAGUC